rnacentral:lncRNA from 1 species
GCUUUGAGCGUUUACAGCAUAAUACUGAGGACAGAAGAGGCAGCGAAUAUGAAAUACUUCCUCCUCAUUAAAAGGCUACGUAGGAGAGUAAUUAAAAUUGAGAGUGGCUUAUUUAGGGAGAAUGAAGAGAAAAAUCAGGAGAAAGAAUUUAAUGUUAAGGACAUCUAUAGAAAAUUCAUAUUCCUCUACUACUCUGAGCUUCAAAAUUGAGAUCCCGUGUAGACUAAAGAAAAAUGUACUGAGGGAGAAAUGCAGAAUGGUGAGAUGGUUGUUUGGAUCUAAAUGAACAGAAGACUGGUCUUCAGAGAGGUUUAGAAAAUUCAGUUAAAUAUGCAACAAGGUCUUGAAAUUUGCAUACUGGUUUUAAGAACAGUCUGUGGAGUCAAACUCAUUCUCUGCCUUCUCUCAGAGGGCUGUUGUGAAUUCUCAGCAAGACAAUGUAUGUAAAGCGCUUAUUAACAUGCAGCAGCCAUCUUU